GACAGAGGGUGCAAACGUUGUUCGGAUUUACUGGGCGUAAAGCGCGUGUAGGCGGCUUUGCAAGUCGGAUGUGAAAGCCCACGGCUCAACCGUGGAAGUGCAUCCGAAACUGCAUGGCUGGAGUCUCGGAGAGGAAGGUGGAAUGCUUGGUGUAGAGGUGAAGUUCGUAGAUAUCAAGCAGAACACCUGCGGCGAAGGCGGCCUUCUGGACGAUGACUGACGCUGAGACGCGAAAGCGUGGGGAGCAAACAGG
rnacentral:rRNA from 1 species